UUCUCUAAUAUAUCUAUCUCAAAUUGAACAUGUCAUGUCAACCUUGCACCCCACAUCCGUAUCCUAUUUUUCAUCACACACACUGUUUUAUAUGUGACACACACACACACUAUCCUCGUAACAGAGUAAAGUUUCACAAACACUCUCUCUGAGUUACGUAGUAAUAAUGGAAUCAUCAUCAUCAUCAUCAUGGUUCAUAGCAAUUGUCUCUUUCUGCAUCAUCUUCCUCAUCAGAGCCAUCUUCUCCACCAAAA
rnacentral:lncRNA from 1 species